rnacentral:rRNA from 1 species
AUGUGCCUCUCCUUCUUAAGACCUCUGCUUUCUCUAGGUGACGGGAGCGUCAUCGCCAAGAUCGGCCCUUGGGGUAAAAUAAGUGCGGACUUACUCGACAUCCCCACGACACCGCAACGUCUAGAGCGCAGCACCAUCCGCCACGGUGUUGUCAUUGAUUCACUUGCAUUUUCCUUCAUUGACAAAGCUGGUGAACCAUAUAACGUUGGCCCGUGGGGUGGCCCACGUGGGGAUAACAAAGACACGAUCGAGCUUGCCGCUUCAGAGAUCGUUAAGGAAGUCUCUGGGACAGUUGGUGUCUUCGCAGAAGAUAAUGUCGAAUAUAAUGCUAUAGCAUCCCUCACCAUUACCACAAAUGUCCGCACGUACGGUCCCUUCGGAGAAACACAGAGCACCACUUUCAGUGUUCCUGUGCAGGACAAUAAGAACAUCGUGGGUUUCUUUGUGUGCGCUGGUAAAUACGUGGAGGCGCUCGGGGUUUACGUGCGUUCACCCGUUUCAACCUAG